UGGGGAAUAUUUGACAAUGGGCGAAAGCCUGAUCCAGCCAUGCCGCGUGUGUGAAGAAGGUCUUCGGAUUGUAAAGCACUUUAAGUUGGGAGGAAGGGCAGUAAGCGAAUACCUUGCUGUUUUGACGUUACCGACAGAAUAAGCACCGGCUAACUCUGUGCCAGCAGCCGCGGUAAUACAGAGGGUGCAAGCGUUAAUCGGAAUUACUGGGCGUAAAGCGCGCGUAGGUGGUUCGUUAAGUUGAAUGUGAAAGCCCCGGGCUCAACCUGGGAACUGCAUCCAAAACUGGCGAGCUAGAGUAGGGCAGAGGGUGGUGGAAUUUCCUGUGUAGCGGUGAAAUGCGUAGAUAUAGGAGGGAACACCAGUGGCGAAGGCGACCACCUGGGCUCAUACUGACACUGAGGUGCGAAAGCGUGGGGAGCAAACAGG
rnacentral:rRNA from 1 species